CAUAUAACAGAUACAGGGCUCCUAUCACAGAUACAGGGCUCAUAUAUCUGUUAUAUGAGCCCUGUAUCUGUGAUAGGAGCCCUGUAUCUGUUAUAUG